AGAGUUUGAUUAUGGCUCAGGACGAACGCUGGCGGCAUGCCUAACACAUGCAAGUCGAACGGGGGUAGCAAUACCCUAGUGGCGAACGGGUGAGUAACACAUAAGCAAUCUGCCCUUCACAGGGGGAUAACAGCGGGAAACUGCUGCUAAUACCGCAUAAGACCACGGUACCGCAUGGUACAAGGGGUAAAAAACGAAUCAGUGGUGAAGGAUGAGCUUAUGUCCCAUUAGCUAGUUGGUGAGAUAACAGCCCCACCAAGGCGACGAUGGGUAGCCGACCUGAGAGGGUGAUCGGCCACACUGGAACUGAGACACGGUCCAGACUCCUACGGGAGGCAGCAGGUGGGGAAUAUUGGGCAAUGGGAAAGGAAACUCUUACCCAGCAAUGCCGCGUGAGUGAAGAAGGUCUUCGGAUUGUAAAGCUUCUUUGAGUUGGGGACGAAGAAAGUGACGGUAACCCAAAGAACAACGCCCCGGCUAACUACGUGCCAGCCGCCGC
rnacentral:rRNA from 1 species